UUGCACCUAUACGCCCAGAUGGCCUGAAGUAACUGAAGAAUCACAAAAGAAGUGAAAAGGCCCUGCCCCGCCUUAACUGAUGACAUUCCACCAUUGUGAUUUGUUCCUGCCCCAACUUAACUGAAUGAUUAACCCUGGGAAUUUCCUUCUCCUGGCUCAGAAGCUCCCCCACUGAGCACCUUGUGACCCCCGCCCCUGCCCACCAGAGAACAACCCCCUUUGACUGUAAUUUUCCAUUACCUUCCCAAAUCCUAUAAAACGGCCCCACCCCUAUCUCCCUUUGCUGACUCUCUUUUCGGACUCAGCCCACCUGCACCCAGGUGAAAUAAACAACCAUGUUGCUCACACAAAGCCUGUUUGGUGGUCUCUUCACACGGACGCACAUGAAAUUUGGUGCCGUGACUCGGAUCGGGGGACCUCCCUUGGGAGAUCAAUCCUCCGUCCUCCUGCUCUUUGCUCCAUGAGAAAGAUCCACCUACGACCUCAGGUCCUCAGACUGAUCAGCCCAAGAAACAUCUCACCAAUCUCAAAUCCGAGACAAAGGAGACACGUUUUAUCCGUGGACCCAAAACUCCGGCGCCGGUCACGGACUGGGAAGGCAGCCUUCCCUUGGUGUUUAAUCAUUGCAGGGACACCUCUCUGAUUAUACACUCACAUUUCAAGGGUGUCAGACCACACAGGGACGCCUGCCUUGGUCCUUCACCCUUAGUGGCAAGUCCCGCUUUUCUGGGGAAGGGUCAAGUACCCCAACCCCUUCUCUUGUCUCUACCCCUUCUCUGCUUUUCUGGGGCAGGGGCAAGUACCCCUCAACCCCUUCUCCUUCACCCUUAGCGGCAAGUCCCGCUUUCCUAGGGGGCAAGAACCCCCCAAUCCCUUAUUUCCACACCCCAACCUCUUAUCUCUGCGCCCCAGUCCCUUAUUUCCACGCCCCAACCUCUUGUCUCUGCGCCCCAAUCCCUUAUCUCUGCGCCCCAAUCCCUUAUUUCCACACCCCAACCUCUUAUCUCUGCGCCCCAGUCCCUUAUUUCCACGCCCCAACCUCUUAUCUCUGCGUCCCAAUCCCUUAUUUCCACGCCCCAACCUCUUAUCUCUGCGCCCCAAUCCCUUAUCUCUGCGCCCCAAUGCCUUAUUUCCGCGCCCCGACCCCCCCCUCCCGCUUUUCUGGAAGGUAAGAACCCCCGAACCCCUUCCCUCCGUGUCUCUACGCUCUCUUUUCUCUGGGCUUGCCUCCUUCACUAUGGGCUUGCCUCCUUCACUAUGGGCAAGCUUCCACCUUCCAUUCCUCCUUCUUCUCCCUUAGCCUGUAUUCUUAAGAACUUAAAACCUCUUCAACUCUCACCUGACCUAAAAUCUAGGCGUCUUAUUUUCUUCUGCAAUGCCGCUUGACCCCAAUACAAACUCCACAGUAGUUCCAAAUAGCCGGAAAACGGCACUUUCAAUUUUUCCAUCCUACAAGAUCUAACUAAUUCUUGUCGUAAAAUGGGCAAAUGGUCUGAGAUGCCUGACGUCCAGGCAUUCUUUUACACAUCAGUCCAUUCCUAGUCUCUGUGCCCAAUGCAACUCGUCCCAAAUCUCCCGCCUGUCCCCUCAGUCCCAACCCCAAGCGUCGCUGAGUCUUUCUAAUCUUCCUUUUCUACAGACCCAUCUGACCUCUCCCCUCCUCGCCUGGCCAAGCUAGGUCCCAAUUCUUCCUCAGCCUCCACUCCUCCACCCUAUAAUCCUUUUAUCGCCUCCCCUCCUCACACCUGCUCCGGCUUACAGUUUCAUUCCGUGACUAGCCCUCCCCCACCUGCCCAGCAAUUUACUCUUAAAAAGGUGGCUGGAGCUAAAGACAUAGUCAAGGUUAAUGCUCCUUUUUCUUUAUCCCAGAUCAGAUAGCGUUUAGGCUCUUUUUCACCAAAUAUAAAAACCCAGUUCAUGGCUCGUUUGGCAGCAACCCUGAGGCGCUUCACAGCCCCAGACCCUAAAAGGUCAAAAGGCCGUCUUAUUCUCAAUAUACAUUCUAUUACCCAAUCUGCUCCCGACAUUAACUCCAAAAAUUGGAAUCUGGCCCUCAAACCCCACAGCAGGACUUAAUUAACCUCACCUUCAAGGUGUACAAUAACAGAAAAAAGUUGCAAUUCCUUGCCUCCACUGUGAGACAAACCCCAGCCACAUCUCCAGCACACAAGAACUUCCAAACGCCUGAACUGCAGCAGCCAGGCGUUCCUCCAGAACCUCCUCCCCCAGGAGCUUACUACAAGUGCCAGAAAUCUGGCCACCAGGCCAAGGAAUGCCUGCAGCCCAGGAUUCCUCCUAAGCCGUGUCCCAUCUGUACGGGACCCCACUGGAAAUCGGACUGUUCAACUCACCUGGCAGACACUCCCAGAGCCCCUGGAACUCUGACCCAGGGCUCUCUGACUGACUCCUUCUUGGCUUACCGGCUGAAAACUGACGCUGCCUGAUCGCCUCGGAAGCCCCGUAGACCAUCACGGACGCCGAGCUUUAGGUAACUCUCACAGUGGAAGAAGAAGGCAGGAAUGUCAGGCCUCUGAGCCCAAGCCAAGCCAUCGCAUCCCCUGUGAUUUGCACCUAUACGCCCAGAUGGCCUGAAGUAACUGAAGAAUCACAAAAGAAGUGAAAAGGCCCUGCCCCGCCUUAACUGACGACAUUCCACCAUUGUGAUUUGUUCCUGCCCCAACUUAACUGAGUGAUUAACCCUGGGAAUUUCCUUCUCCUGGCUCAGAAGCUCCCCCACUGAGCACCUUGUGACCCCCGCCCCUGCCCACCAGAGAACAACCCCCUUUGACUGUAAUUUUCCAUUACCUUCCCAAAUCCUAUAAAACGGCCCCACCCCUAUCUCCCUUCGCUGACUCUCUUUUCGGACUCAGCCCACCUGCACCCAGGUGAAAUAAACAACCAUGUUGCUCACACAAAGCCUGUUUGGUG
rnacentral:lncRNA from 1 species